rnacentral:rRNA from 1 species
AUUGAACGCUGGCGGCAUGCCUUACACAUGCAAGUCGAACGGCAGCACGGGUGCUUGCACCUGGUGGCGAGUGGCGAACGGGUGAGUAAUAUAUCGGAACGUACCUUAUCGUGGGGGAUAACGCAGCGAAAGCUGCGCUAAUACCGCAUACGCCCUGAGGGGGAAAGCGGGGGACCGUAAGGCCUCGCGCGAUUAGAGCGGCCGAUAUCAGAUUAGGUAGUUGGUGGGGUAAAGGCCUACCAAGCCGACGAUCUGUAGCUGGUCUGAGAGGACGACCAGCCACACUGGGACUGAGACACGGCCCAGACUCCUACGGGAGGCAGCAGUGGGGAAUUUUGGACAAUGGACGCAAGCCUGAUCCAGCCAUUCCGCGUGCAGGAUGAAGGCCCUCGGGUUGUAAACUGCUUUUGUACAGAACGAAAAGGUUUCUAUUAAUACUAGGAGCUCAUGACGGUACUGUAAGAAUAAGCACCGGCUAACUACGUG